GAUGAACGCUAGCGAUAGGCCUAACACAUGCAAGUCGAGGGGCAUCACAUGAAGUAGCAAUACGGAUGGUGGCGACCGGCGCACGGGUGAGUAACACGUAUGCAACCUGCCUUCAACAAGGGGAUAACCCGUUGAAAAACGGACUAAUACCCUAUAAUACAGGGGUCCCGCAUGGGGAUAUUUGUUAAAGAUUGAUCGGUUGAAGAUGGGCAUGCGUUCCAUUAGCUGGUUGGUGAGGUAACGGCUCACCAAGGCAACGAUGGAUAGGGGAACUGAGAGGUUUAUCCCCCACACUGGUACUGAGACACGGACCAGACUCCUACGGGAGGCAGCAGUGAGGAAUAUUGGUCAAUGGGCGAGAGCCUGAACCAGCCAAGUCGCGUGCAGGAAGAAUGUCCUAUGGAUUGUAAACUGCUUUUGCAGGGGAAUAAAGUGAGCCACGUGUGGUUUUUUGUAUGUACUCUGCGAAUAAGGAUCGGCUAACUCCGUGCC
rnacentral:rRNA from 1 species